CUUGGUCAUUUAGAGGAAGUAAAAGUCGUAACAAGGUUUCCGUAGGUGAACCUGCGGAAGGAUCAUUAGAGUAAGAAGUGUGAGUGUAGGCUUUGGUCGGAGGGAACCGGAAGCCAUAGGUUUCGCUGCUCAGUCGCGAUGAAGACAGGAUUUUUGUGCCGAUGCCGGCCGGACGUGAAACGGAAUAUCCUCUCUCACGAGACCUGCCUGUUAACUGCUAAGGCCCGCUGCGACAGACGGGACUGAAACUCCCCGAGUCGAGAAACAGCGUUGGAGCAUCGCAACCAAGAGCCUCUAAUCCUGACGUGGUAUCGGUGACCGGAAGACGGAGAACACUCCCGCCCACUGGGCGUCUCUUUGUGAACAAACCUUUCAAACUAUUUUCAGUUAUUAUUGCACCGUCUGAGCAGAGAAAGCAAAUCUUAUAAAACUUUCAACAACGGAUCUCUUGGUUCUCGCAUCGAUGAAGAACGCAGCGAAACGCGAUAGGUAAUGUGAAUUGCAGAAUUUAGUGAAUCAUCGAAUCUUUGAACGCACAUUGCGCUCCUUGGUAUUCCGAGGAGCAUAUCUGUUCGAGCGUCAUAUCUCUCUCAAGUCCACCGCUUUGCCGCGGGAGACUUGGUGCUGAGCUCGGAGAGCUGAGAAGCCUCCGGCUCCAAUUUCGCACGCUUGCGGUCCCCGUUGAACCUCAGACAUGAUAAACUUGACUGUUUGGUGCGUUCACGACGGCGGAUUCGCCACCGAAACCCCUCAAAAGUUUGACCUCGGAUCAGAUAAGGAUACCCGCUGAACUUAAGCAUAUCAAUAAGCGGAGGA
rnacentral:rRNA from 1 species